rnacentral:rRNA from 1 species
AUGCCCUUGGACUUCACCAAGCACUUCGUCGCGGUGCCGACGGAGUUCAAGCUCGGGAACAACACCGGCUGCUCCUGGAAGGUGACGGUGAAGCUGAUGAACGGCUGGGUGACCCUGGAUCAGGGUUGGGCCACCUACGCCGCCGUUCAUCAGAUCAAUAUCGGCUACAUGGUGACGUUCAAGCUCCUCACACCCGACACCCUCAAGGUCAUCAUUUUCGACGACGAUGGCAUUGAGGUGGUCAACACGAAGCCUUCGCCGCCAAGGACUAGGGCCGGGGCACCUCCUUCCUAA